rnacentral:rRNA from 1 species
CCUACGGGUGACAGCAGUGGGGGAUAUUGCACAAUGGGGGAAACCCGGAUGCAGCGACGCGGCGGGUGGGAAGACGGUCCUCUGGAUUGUAAACCACUGUCCCCAGGGACGAAGAUGACGGUACCUGGGGAGGAAGCUCCGGCUAACUACGUGCAAGCAGCCGCGGUAAUACGUAGGGAGCGAGCGUUGUCCGGAAUUACUGGGUGGAAAGGGAGCGUAGGCGGGACUGCAAGUUGGGUGUCAAAUCUACCGGCUCAACCGGUAGCCGCACUCAAAACUGCAGUUCUUGAGUGAAGUAGAGGCAGGCGGAAUUCCUAGUGUAGCGGUGAAAUGCGUAGAUAUUAGGAGGAACACCAGUGGCGAAGGCGGCCUGCUGGGCUUUUACUGACGCUGAGGCUCGAAAGUGUGGGGAGCAAACAGGAUUAGAUACCCGGGUAGUC